UGAAACUGAAUUUUGCAAUGGUUGAGAUAAAAAAAUUUAUUUAAAUUUAAUUGGUAUUUUGAUUCUAAUGAAGUUUAUUUAAUGUGAUUUUUUCAUUUUUCUUAUCUUCAAUUUAGAUUUUAUUUUAUUCAAAAGAAUUCAAUGAUUCUUUUUAAAUGAUAUCCAAAUCUUUGUCUAUCAAAUCAAAUGCUUCUAGUGCGACCAUGUGAAUUGGAUUUUGCGAUGUAAAGAUGAACUCCCAUGGCUAGAGGAACUCACACCCUGCAAACCUUAAUUAUGUCCAAUCUAACCAUGACUUUCAACAUCAGAAAUUCUCAUACCAUCAUUAACCCCAGCAUUGUGCAACAACAUAAACAUCAAACAAUCAAUGUAACAACCACAUGAACAACAAUAACAAUUAAUGCAACAACAUCACCACCAUUAACAACAACAAUAACCUUCCAACCCUUCCUCGCUUCUUGAUAUACAAUCUUUUGUCGCCAAAAUUAUCCCCC
rnacentral:lncRNA from 1 species